rnacentral:rRNA from 1 species
CCCGCUGAACUUAAGCAUAUCAAUAAGCGGAGGAAAAGAAACUAACAAGGAUUCCCUUAGUAACUGCGAGUGAAGAGGGAACAGCUCAAAUUUAAAAUCUGGCUCUGUUUCGCUGUCCGAGGUGUUACCUAGAGAAGUGUAACCUGUGCUGGACCGUGUACGAGUCUCCUGGCAUGGCGCAUCACAGAGGGAGAGAAUCCCGUCUUUGACAUGGCACUGCCACUGCAUUGUGCUUGUCGUUCUCAACGAGUCGAGUUGUUUGGGAAUGCAGCUCUAAAUGGGUGGUAAAUUCCAUCUAAAGCUAAAUAUUGGCGAGAGACCGAUAGCGAACAAGUACCGUGAGGGAAAGAUGACAAGAACUUUGGAGAGAGAGUUAAACAGUAUGUGAAAUUGCUGAAAGGGAAACGCUCGAAGUCAGUCACGUCUGCCAGGACUCAGCCUUGCUUCUGCUUGGUGUACUUUCUGGUUUGAUGGGCCAACAUCAAUUUUGACCGUUGGAGAAAGGCUGUGGGAAUGUGGCACCUUCGGGUGUGUUAUAGCCCAUGGUGGUAUACAGCGGUUGGGAUUGAGGACUGCAGCACGCCUUUAUGGCCGGGGUUUUGCCCACGUCACGUGCUUAGGAUGUUGGCAUAAUGGCUUUAAGCGACCCGUCGUGAAACACGG